CGCAGCUGUUUCAUAUGGCAUUGCUUCAAUGGCUAUGGUCUUUAUCAACAAAGCUGUUAUCAUGCAGUAUCCACACUCCAUGACUGUUCUUACUCUACAGGUAUGUGGCAGUUGUAUGGCCUGAUGUCCUGUACUUCUCUAUCUACAAGGUUAGUGACUGGUCCACUGCGUUGCUUGUUCUCAUGUAAUUUGUUUACUGCUGUCUUUUGUUUAGCCAGCUAACUUUUUGUUCUCUGGCUACUCUUUUUUUAUGUUUGUAUGUUUCCUGUUUUUGUUAUUGAUGAGGAGCAUUGCGUUGCUUGUUCUCAUGACUUGUUGCAUGUCCUCAAAGCAUAUGAAAAAGAGUGAAAGACUAGUAAUGAAAGUGUUCUAUA